GACGAACGCUGGCGGCGUGCUUAACACAUGCAAGUCGAACGGAAAGGCCCCUUUGGGGGUACUCGAGUGGCGAACGGGUGCGUAACACGUGAGUAACCUGCCCUUGACUUCGGGAUAACUUCAGGAAACUGGGGCUAAUACCGGAUAGGAAUCCUUGCUGCAUGGUGGGGGUUGGAAAGCUUCGGCGGUUUUGGAUGGACUCGCGGCUUAUCAGCUUGUUGGUGGGGUAGUGGCUUACCAAGGCGUUGACGGGUAGCCAGCCUGAGAGUGCGACCGGCCACAUUGGGACUGAGAUAAGGCACAGACUCCUACGGGAGGCAGAAGUGGGGAAUAUUGCACAAUGGGCGGAAGCCUGAUGCAGCAACGCCGCGUGCGGGAUGACGGCCUUCGGGUUGUAAACCGCUUUCAGCAGGGGCGAAGCUUGUGGUGACGGUACCUGCAGAAGAAGCACCGGCUAACUACGUG
rnacentral:rRNA from 1 species